UACGUAGGGUGCGAGCGUUGUCCGGAAUUAUGGGGCGUAAAGAGCUUGUAGGCGGUUUGUCGCGUCUGCUGUGAAAAUCCGGGGCUCAACCCCGGACUUGCAGUGGGUACGGGCAGACUGGAGUGUGGUAGGGGAGACUGGAAUUCCUGGUGUAGCGGUGGAAUGCGCAGAUAUCAGGAGGAACACCGAUGGCGAAGGCAGGUCUCUGGGCCACUACUGACGCUGAGAAGCGAAAGCAUGGGGAGCGAACAGG
rnacentral:rRNA from 1 species